UAGAAUUCUCAUAUAUUUAAAUAAUGAAUAACUUUAAUGCAAUAAACGCAUUUUGGUAAAAUUGUGGGUUUGGUCACUUUGCAUCUCACAGCGUCAAUUUAAGAAUUAAUAAUAAAAAGUGUAUGUUAAUUAAAAAUAUUUUUUAUUUUUAGAUUUCUGAAUUAGAAAAAAUAUUAGGAAGGUCAAUGGGGCAGCGUAUUCGAAAAAUUCUGUACAGAAUUACAUUAGAUGAAGUAGCAUUGCUUUUCAUGGGUGGAGCCAAACAAAAAAAGCAUUUAAACACUUGAAACUGUCCAAGGCUAUAUUAGAUGCUGUGAAAGUACAGUAUAAUUCCGCCAAGGACACCGAAAUCAUCGAAACGAUAAAGUAUUGGCUGGUGAAAGCGAAAGAGAGAAUUUCACAUAAAUUAAGACGUGUUAGCAAUAAUUAGUUUUUAAAUAAAUAAUUUAAGAUCAAA
rnacentral:lncRNA from 1 species